GCAUAGCUCAAGAAAAAUGGUUAUCAACAAAAUCUACUUAAAUAGGCCAACUAAAAUCGCAUCGUGUGCGCUAGGCUUUAUUUUGUGUCUUAUAGGCUAUAGUUUUAAUAUAAUUAGUAAGGUAUAGUCUAGGAGCAACCUUUCAUAUACCCUAACAGUGUCUUACAAUUACGUGGACAUCGCGAACGCAAAAUUGCGUAAUUGUGUGAUGUUC